UCCGUAGGCGGUGUGGCAAGUCGGAAGUGAAAUCUCUGGGCUUAACUCAGAGGCUGCUUCCGAAACUGCCGUGCUAGAGUGCGAGAGAGGCAAGUGGAAUUGCGGGUGUAGCGGUGAAAUGCGUAGAUAUCCGCAGGAACAUCCGAGGCGAAAGCGGCUUGCUGGAUCGCAACUGACGCUGAGGGACGAAAGCUAGGGGAGCAAACAGGAUUAGAUACCCUGGUAGUCCUAGCCCUAAACCAUCAGGACUUGGGGUUUGCACUGUACGGGGCAAGUCCCGUAGCUAACGCGUUAAGUCCUGCGCCUGGGGAGUACGGUCGCAAGGCUGAA
rnacentral:rRNA from 1 species